rnacentral:rRNA from 1 species
AUUGAACGCUGGCGGCAGGCCUAACACAUGCAAGUCGAGCGGAGCGGCGGACGGGUGAGUAAUGCCUAGGAAUCUGCCUGGUAGUGGGGGAUAACGUCCGGAAACGGGCGCUCAUCUCGCAUACUAUAAGAUUAUCCUAGGUCGGAUUCGCUAGUUGGUGGGGUAACGGCCUACCAGGGCGACGAUCCGUAACUGGUCUGAGAGGAUGAUCAGGCACACUGGAAAGGAGACACGGUCCAGACUCCUACGUGAGGCAGCAGUGGGGAAGAUGGGACAAUGGGCGAAAGCCUGAUCCAGCCAUACCGCGUGUGUGAAGAAGGUCUUCGGAUUGGAAAGCACUUUAAGUUGGGAGGCGUUACCAACAGAAUAAGCACCGGCUAACUUCGUGCCAGCAGCCGCGGUAAUAC